rnacentral:rRNA from 1 species
UACGUAGGGGGCAAGCGUUGUUCGGAAUUACUGGGCGUAAAGGGCUCGUAGGCGGCCAACUAAGUCGGAUGUGAAAUCCCCAGGCUUAACCUGGGAACUGCAUCCGAUACUGGAUGGCUUGAAUUCGGGAGAGGGAUGCAGAAUCCCAGGUGUAGCGGUGAAAUGCGUAGAUAUCUGGAGGAAUACCGGUGGCGAAGGCGGCAUCCUGGACCGAGAUUGACGCUGAUGAGCGAAAGCUAGGGGAGCAAACGGG